UACAGAGGUCUCAAGCGUUGUUCGGAUUCAUUGGGCGUAAAGGGUGCGUAGGCGGCGCGGUAAGUCGGGUGUGAAAUCUUGGAGCUUAACUCCGAAACUGCAUUCGAUACUGCCGUGCUUGAGGACUGGAGAGGAGACUGGAAUUUACGGUGUAGCGGUGAAAUGCGUAGAUAUCGUAAGGAAGACCAGUGGCGAAGGCGGGUCUCGUGGACAGUUCCUGACGCUGAGGCACGA
rnacentral:rRNA from 1 species